AACGGACGCUGGCGGCAGGCCUAACACAUGCAAGUCGAACGAGAAGCCACCUUCGGGUGGUGGAAAGUGGCAGACGGGUGAGUAACGCGUGGGAACGUGCCUUUCGGUUCGGGAUAACCCAGGGAAACUUGGGCUAAUACCGGAUACGCCCUUCGGGGAAAGAUUCAUCGCCGAAAGAUCGGCCCGCGUCGGAUUAGCUA
rnacentral:rRNA from 1 species